GCGUGAGUAACCUGCCCUGGAGUGGGGGGACAACAGUUGGAAACGACUGCUAAUACCGCAUAAGCCCACGGAUCCGCAUGGAUCUGCGGGAAAAGGAUUUAUUCGCUUCAGGAUGGACUCGCGUCCAAUUAGCUAGUUGGUGAGGUAACGGCCCACCAAGGCGACGAUUGGUAGCCGGACUGAGAGGUUGAACGGCCACAUUGGGACUGAGACACGGCCCAGACUCCUACGGGAGGCAGCAUG
rnacentral:rRNA from 1 species